ensembl:lncRNA
CUAUGAAUUAAUUAGAGAACCAUCAUCUGAUGAUUCUUCAUGUUUGGAAAGUGACUCAGGAUACUUUCAGGAUAAUAAGGAAGCCAUGACAGCUCAACCUGAAAAUGAGAGUCUACUCACUUCCACUGUUGAUGAAGAAGUGAGUGGAGUUCUGGAAUCUGAAGCUUUUCAGGACAAUGUUGAGUAUUCCAAUACAGAAGCCAUGCAGAGGGACACUCUCGAUUUGAGGGAUGGACCUGAGGAGAAGCCUUUCAUAUUUGAGGAUCACAGUGAGCCUGAAUGUCCAGUUCUGCAGUACAAGAGGGUUUCUAUAUCAGGAAGUGAGGAGGAUAUUAAACUGUGUGCUGAUCAUGCUGAAGAACCAACAGAGGAACCAGGCAAAAACCUUCCAAAUGGUCAUUCUGAAACCAACGAGAAUAGUGACCUCCGUGAUAGGGAACAAGAAGCUGUCUUGGAAAGUGAGGUGAAGGAUGUGGUAUUUGAGGAGCCAGAAGAACCUAUCUCAGAUUGGAGCCAAACAGAAGUUGAGAUUCCUGAUGAAGAUCAAGUGUGUUAUAUGUGUGGAGGUCCUGUGGCAAAAAGCUCAGCUGAAUCAAGCGAACAGGGUGACGAUUGUCUGUCCCAUUUAAACUCAACUGAGAAGGAUUGUAAUUCAGACUUGAGACAUUUCAGUGAAUCAGAAGGAAACUUUGAGGACAAUCCAAGGGAAAAGAACAAUGAAUUAAACGGAACUGUAUGUGAUCUCAAGAAUGAGCCAAGAGAGAGUAAAGGUAUUCAUGAAGAUCUGCUUAUUAUAGGAAAGAGCCCCUUGGAAAAUGGGUCAGAUGGCAUAAGGAGGACAGAGUUCUCUCACAAUACAAACAGUGAAAGCCAAGCUCAGGUUUCAGACAAUAUGGAGCCUAGAGGGGUCAAGGAUAACAGACCUGUAUCAGUAGUGGACUCCCACUAUGAUGUUCUGAAUUCCGUCACUGAGACCUUUGUGGAGCCUCUUUCUGACACCAGCAUCCAUGAUGGAGAAAACGACUCUACACUGUCCCAAAGCCUGCACAGACUGCAUCCAGAAGUGUCCAGCACUGAACUACCAAUUGAAGAGGAGACCACCUUUGAGGACUCAAAGUUUGUUAUUGGUGUCCGUGGGUACCCUGAAAGACGUCCUGCAGAGCUACGCCUGUCCCUCAGCAUGACUCCGCUUCAGCCGGCACCUCCUAAGCGUUCACUUACUGAAUCGGAUACAGACACUGAAGACACAUCAGAGGACCACGGCAAGGGAUUUAAGUCGAGAAAGGACAGAGCGGGAUCCAUGCAUAUCCAGGAGCAAAGCCCGUUUGACAGGCACCCGGGAGAAUGGGGCGCGGUGGAGCCUGAUUCACCCGCUGAGCAUUGUGAGCUCAUUAAGACAGAUGACAACCUGACCAUCAGCGCUGGUGCCAGAGAAAACACUGGGGCUAUGAGGGAAGGAGCUGUGACGGAUGCAAGCCAACCUUUGACUACUAUACACUUGAGAAAGGUCAUUGACAUCACUGAAUCAAAGGUUUGUUAAUGCAAAAGGUAUUAUUAGUGACAAUAAAAUGCAUAGACUUUAAAGGAUCCAAGCUGUAUCUAGGGACAAGAGUAUUAUAGAGACUCCUAGGUGGGCUCUUUUGACUUCUGCCUGUAAAUAAGACCCAGAAAACACUAGAAACCACAUAGCAUAAUUGUAAACAAUAGUCAGAACACCUUAGCAACCACAUAGGAACAAACUGGC